UAUUAUUGCAGGACGAUGCAACUUGUAUAUCGGACAUGAAAGAGUCAUCUCUCAGAGUUUGGGAAUGAUUGGAAGUAAGACAAACCCACUAGUUCACUUUAUGAGCAAGUGGGUCAUGUACGUGAACGAGGCAGGACUACACGAUCACUGGUACAAGCAGGCAAUUCCCAAUUUCAGCAUGUGUGUGAAACUACCAAGCAAAGUGACUGUUAGCACAUCGUUUUCCAUCAACAACUCCUGGGCCAUGUUCGUGAUCCUGCUUACUGGGCUAGGAGCUGGUUUUAUCAUUUUCCUCACAGAACAUAUACACGCUCACAUUCGGCACCACGGUGAAUAGGGACCAAUUUCAGAUAUUUCUGAUAGAAUCUCCUGUAACUUAAGAUUUUCUUACACAGAAAGUUGUUACUGAUUGAAAAUACACAUGAUUAAGCCUCAA